rnacentral:rRNA from 1 species
GUGAGGAAUUUUCCGCAAUGGGCGAAAGCCUGACGGAGCAAUGCCGCGUGAAGGAUGAAGGCCUAUGGGUUGUAAACUUCUUUUCUCAGAAAAGAAUUAUGACGGUAUCUGAGGAAUAAGCAUCGGCUAACUCUGUGCCAGCAGCCGCGGUAAGACAGAGGAUGCAAGCGUUAUCCGGAAUGAUUGGGCGUAAAGCGUCUGUAGGUUGUUUAAAAAGUAUUCUGUCAAAGAUUAGGGCUUAACCCUAGAUAGGCAGAAUAAACUUUUAAGCUAGAGUUUGGUAGAGGCAGAGGGAAUUCCCGGUGGAGAGGUGAAAUGCGUAGAUAUCGGGAGGAACACCAAAGGCGAAGGCACUCUGCUGGGCCAAUACUAACACUGAGAGACGAAAGCGAGGGGAGCAAAUGGGAUUAGAAACCCGUGUAGUCC